rnacentral:rRNA from 1 species
AUGGACGUCGGGUUCUCAACUACCGGGCCGCUUUGUCUCGUGAUCUGCCCGUGGCUGGCGUUCGACCACCUGCUCCCGUACCUGGAGCUCGCGGAGCGCCUGGCGUCGCGCGGCCACCGCGUGGCUUUCGUCUCCACGUCACGCCACCUCGCUCGCCUCCCGCCGCCCGCGUCGCCGUGCAACGUUGACCUCGUCGCGCUGCCGCUGCGGCGCGUCGACGGCCUCCCCAAGGGCGCCGACUCCACCAGCGACGUCUCCGACGAGAAGCGGGAGCUCCACUGA